rnacentral:rRNA from 1 species
GUCCACGCCGUAAACGAUGGAUACUAGCUGUUCGGAGCAAUCUGAGUGGCUAAGCGAAAGUGAUAAGUAUCCCACCUGGGGAGUACGUUCGCAAGAAUGAAACUCAAAGGAAUUGACGGGGGCCCGCACAAGCGGUGGAACAUGUGGUUUAAUUCGAUGAUACGCGAGGAACCUUACCAAGGCUUAAAUGUAGAUUGACCGGUUUGGAAACAGAUCUUUCGCAAGACAAUUUACAAGGUGCUGCAUGGUUGUCGU